CAAUGGGGCCAGAAGUCAGAUUACAAUAGACUGAAGACAGUGAAUGGGAAGGACUUGGAGGACUCUUGGAGGGAGUGACCUUGAAGAAAGUGCCAAAAGCUGAGUUACCUACUGUCUUCAUUUCACAGCUUGGUUGGCUCAUCUCAUCCAGGGGCUCUCACCUGCCCUUGCAGCAGAAGCAUCUGAGAAUCAUUUAAAAUACAGGCCCAGGAUGCUCUAUGCCAAGUACAGCCUGGAGGUGCAGGCAAGUUAUCUCCAGGAAGAACCUUCAACCAGCAGAGGAUGGGAGCUGAUAACGUCUCCGGCUUCUGUACUUCAGUGUGGUCAGAAAGAGUGUGAUG
rnacentral:lncRNA from 1 species